CAAUGGUAUAUAGCAUAUCGUUAAACAAUCCUACGAGUAUGAUAUAUCUACCAGUGAGAUCUACGUCUACAGUCUGCAGUGUGAAUGAGACUGUUUUGCUGAUGAGGAUGGAUACUCCUCUGGCUUUAGUGGGUGCCAUGGCAUGGAACUGGUGUGGAAAGUCUUUGGUUAAUAUUGCUGGGUGGUCGUUGUGCCUAAAAUGAGUUUCCUGGAGGCAUAAUAUGUCUACUCCCAUAGGUCUAACCUCUCUGGUGAGAAGAUGGCGUUUUACCGGGGCAUUGAGGCCCCUAACAUUAAAGGUGCAAAGCUUCACGGUGGUCUGUGAGGUUGGUGUCUCUCGUACCUAUGGAACUGGUCAAUGUAUGUGAG